GACGAACGCUGGCGGCGUGCUUAACACAUGCAAGUCGAACGGAAAGGCCCUGCUUUUGUGGGGUGCUCGAGUGGCGAACGGGUGAGUAACACGUGAGUAACCUGCCCUUGACUUUGGGAUAACUUCAGGAAACUGGGGCUAAUACCGGAUAGGAGCUCCUGCUGCAUGGUGGGGGUUGGAAAGUUUCGGCGGUUGGGGAUGGACUCGCGGCUUAUCAGCUUGUUGGUGGGGUAGUGGAUUACCAAGGCUUUGACGGGUAGCCGGCCUGCGCGGGUGACCGGCCACAUUGGGACUGAGAUACGGCCCAGACUCCUACGGGAGGCAGCAGUGGGGAAUAUUGCACAAUGGGCGGAAGCCUGAUGCAGCAACGCCGCGUGCGGGAUGACGGCCUUCGGGUUGUAAACCGCUUUCGCCUGUGACGAAGCGUGAGUGACGGUAAUGGGUAAAGAAGCACCGGCUAACUCCGUG
rnacentral:rRNA from 1 species